AUGUGCCCGUACUCUAGCAGCUUCUCCACUGUCAUCUUUGGCUGCUCAAAGGUCACUGGUCCGUCCCGCGAGUUCACCAGCUUCUUGCCAAUGUUCUCGAUACCGGUAGAGGUCACCCACUUGCGCACCUCGUCGUCGUACACCCGAGCACGCAGAGCACCGAAAAAUUGUGAGGAACAUACCGAUGGAUUGUCCUGGGAAGGUGUCGACGAUCUUGACGACGGACUCGUCGCUGACAUUGUCGGUCUGGAAGAUACCCUUGCAGACACCGAUACGGUCGUCGCGGGUGGGAGCCCAGUAGAACUUCUCCAUACGACCAUCACGGAUCAGAGGGGCGUACAACGUCGAGAAAUCGUUACCAGUGACGACGAUGGGCACACGUGGGUUCUCCUCCUUGUUGUACAUGCCUGGGAGCUGCACAUUGGUGGGGGCAUCGGCGAUGUUCAUGAGGGUGGCGUUCACCAUCUGGUUGUUCACCGUGUACUGCGUCGUCCCGCCCAUCCGCCCCGCGCCGGCGUCCAGGUCGUUGAUGAAGAGGCAGCACAUCUUGCCCUUCUUGAUAAUGUCCGCCGCCUCGCGGUACCUCUGCCGGAUCAGCUUGGCCGGCUCGCCGGCGUUGCCGCUCUCCAGCUCUCCGGCGCUCAUCAUGAUGGGGUUGAUGCCCAUCUUGGCGAACACCAGCUCGCACUGGAACGACUUGCCCUGUCCCUUGCCUCCCCAGAUGCCCAGGAUGAGAGGGACCUUGAUGUUGGGGAGCGUCAUGAAGUUCUUGGCGAGGUGGACGAUGAGCUUGUCCAUGAAUGCCGGGGCGAUGUAGAGCCCGUCCAUGGUGUUGUCGAAGUCGUACUUCCGCAGGCCCUGGCUGAUGUACUCGUAGGAGCUCAGGAUGGCCUCGUGGGUGCCGUCGCCCAUGGGGGCCUGGAACAGGGAGUCCACGAUACCUUUCCCCCUGGUGAUGUCCUGCUGGUCGUCGGAGAUGUCGUAAGCGAGACCCUUCCACCGAUCGGCAUCGGUCUGCUUGCCCUCGUCAAGUUCCUUUUUGGCCGCCAUGGCCCUGACCACCCUACUGUUGAUCUUGUUGCCACCAUGGUAGUAGUUCAACGUACCGGCCUGCUUCUUCACCUUCUUCCCGAGGAAGCAGAAGCCAUCGUGUCGAUUGUUCUCUCCCCGCACCUGAUAACUUAA
rnacentral:rRNA from 1 species